UGAGUUGCCCAAAGUCGCACGGCUGACGAGUGGCCGAGCCGGCAUUUGAACCCAUGACCUCUGACUCCAAAGCCCACUCAAAGCCACGCAGCGAUACAAGUUACCCAUGCAGCCCUCUUUCUCCAACUGAGGCCUCUCUCCAGGACAUCAGGAAGGGGUAGGUCACGUCCCCUUUCCGAGGGCACGGCGGAACGACGGCUGUUUUCUGACCGAGGAGGAGGCGCGGCCAGACCGUUCUCCCGAGAGCCUGUCAACGAUCGAGACACCGGUACGGUGGAGGAGAAUGUUCCUCCUCAUGGAUGGGAGUCUUCGAGAAUGGGAUAAGAAAAAUGAACUGUGUUCCACUUUGACCCAGAAAAGGUGAAAUGAGAAUUAGUUUCAGGAUGUUAAGGUUUAGGAACGAGAGAAAAAUAUACACAUGCCAGGACUGUUGCAUGGCAUGAAAUGGGCAUUGUGCGCAUGGUAUGAAAUAGAUUUUAACCACAGUUACAGACUCAUACAUUUAUUAAUGCCAAAUAAAAUAAAAUGUAUUUUAAUCUCU